rnacentral:rRNA from 1 species
UACGGGGGGGGCAAGCGUUGUUCGGAAUUACUGGGCGUAAAGGGUUUGUAGGUGGCUCGCUAAGUCAGACGUGAAAUCCCUCAGCUUAACUGGGGAACUGCGUCUGAGACUGGCGAGCUUGAGUGCAGGAGAGGAACGCGGAAUUCCAGGUGUAGCGGUGAAAUGCGUAGAUAUCUGGAGGAACACCGGUGGCGAAGGCGGCGUUCUGGACUGUAACUGACACUGAGGAACGAAAGCCAGGGGAGCAAACGGG